rnacentral:rRNA from 1 species
UAGGGAAUCUUCCACAAUGGACGAAAGUCUGAUGGAGCAACGCCGCGUGAGUGAAGAAGGGUUUCGGCUCGUAAAACUCUGUUGUUAAAGAAGAACAUAUCUGAGAGUAACUGUUCAGGUAUUUGACGGUAUUUUAACCAGAAAGCCACGGCUAACUACGUGCCAG